GGCAGAAGGGUCCCAGUGACUGUGAAGUGUCCAGAUACAGAAGAACCAUUUUUCCUUCUUUCUGAGGCUGGAUUCGAUUCCAGGCAUGCAGCCCACUUCCAGCCUUCCCCUUCUGCUUCUUCCAAGGAAGGAAAAGAAAGAACAUAAGGUCUAGAAAGUCAAAUGAACUUCCUUGUUUUUACUGUGAAGGGAAGAUGUGGGAGAGCCUUGCCAGGAGCAAGUUGGUUGCAGGGUGAGAAAGGGUAGAGAGAGCCUAGGUUAGGGAAGUCUCAUCCCACUUGUAUUGAGAACCUGGUCAAGUCUCCUGCGUUUUGUAAAUAGGUUGGUUUGGUUCCCACCACGUCUUCUCCCGUCUCCACCUUAUGGAUCUGUAAAACAGGAGCCUCAAGUGCCAGAAACAGCAUCUUAAUCCAACCUCUUAUUUCCACCUGGCUGUGCCUGCGACAGAAAAUCAGAGGAGGGGGAAGAGCCUCCCCUCCAAGCCCUGUGCGAGAAGGAGCUGUGCCAGAAGCUGUGUUCACCUCCUAUAACUCUAGCUUUAUGUUAUACAGCUGUGCUUGGCCCCAGUGUGCAGCAGUGGGGCCCAAGGGUGAUCCCAGCCUUCCCUGGUUCCUCCCCUCUGUGCUUGGAGGAGAAGAAAAUGCAAGUUAAAAUAAAAGGAUUUAAAACCUAC